ensembl:lncRNA
GAAACAUCUGUGCUGUGUCUGCUCUUACUUCUAUUCACUGACAUCUUAAUCCUGGGUUCUCCUGAGCUUGAACCUGAACGUCAGACAAACCAUCGACUGCAGGAGACAUGAGCCUCAGACCAUCUCACCAUCAUCAUCUUCAUCAUCACCAUCAUCAUCAUCAUCAUCAUCAUCAUCAGACAUGGCUGGUAAGGACAUGAGGAGGAAACAGUAGGAGCUGUGUGAGGCUACUAAAGGCAGUGGAUCCCUCAGCAGCUGGAUUACAAAGAGCACAGUCUACAGUCUCAGAUCAACACAGCCCUGCCCUCCAGCACUAUCAGCAGCAGGAGCAGCAGAAACACCUCAACAGCAACAUUGUACCCAUCAGAGAGACAGCCAGGUUCAUAUAAGAUCAGAUCAAAUGAUCCAUCAAUAAAGGAUAAUGUUGGAUCAGUGUUUCAAUAUUUUAUAUCUUCUAUUAGAUGUUCAUGUGGUUUGGUUAUUUGCCUUUUGGUUGAAAGUACACUGAGAGAGGACUUUUCGUUAGUGAUCUUAAUAAUUAUUUUUUUCAUAUUAAUGUAAUUUUUUCAUCUAAUUGAAUACAAUCUAUUUGUGUAUGAUUGUCAGUCCAAAGAGGGAGAGAGGAAAGAGGGGAACGUGAGGAGAAAGUACAAGGUCAGGAAGAACCAGGUAAGAAAACAGACAGGGAACAGUGACAGGCAAAACAGAAACUAUUAAACUGACGAAGAGAAAAAACCUGAUUUUACUCACACAAUCUGGAAGUUGUGUUCUCCCUAUAUUAAAGCUGCUGUACAGAAUCUGCGAAACAAACUGGGUUGAAACAUUUUCGACCCUCUUUAACAACAUUCCAACAUAACAUUAUCAUUGAUUGGGGAGAUUAAAAUUAAUGAUAUAUUUUUAUGUGGUUCAGCCACAACUCUACUAAAACCUCAGCCAGUAAUAGGUAGGCCAACUUUUGGACCGUCCAGUUGUCUGUAUGACUGCCGCAUACAGACACACUUAUCAGUGUUUCUCAAACUUUUUACAGUGUGUACCACCUGAGAAAAAUGUCAAGCUCUCCCAAGUACCACUAUGAAAGCAUGAAACUCAUAAAUCUUACAACACAAAAUUAGUAUUAUUAAAUUAGUUAAAUAAACACAAUAUUGGAAAACUGAUUAGGAGCUGGGAGGGUGACCUCCAGUGUCAGUGUGAUGAUCAUGCCUGGAGUGAGUCCAUACAAUCUGUGCAUUCUUUAUUUCUUAGUAACAGAUUUAAAGAAAUACAAUAUAAAAUUUUACAUAGACAGCAUAGAACACCUAUUUUUCUGAAUAAAAUUGAUCCGAGCAGGUCUGCACAAUGUAUUAAAUGUAAAUCUGCGCCGGGGUCCUACGUGCACUGUCUUUGGACUUGCUCAAAAAUCUCAAAAUUCUGGCUCUGUGUAACUAAAGAACUAAAAGGGAUAUUUAAAAGCAGAAUACAAAGAGAUCCAGCUCAGUAUCUAUUGGGGCUGCCAAUUUCGAACAAAUUUCCAGAUAAAAAUAAGCAUAUACUUCUAUGCAAACUACUGUUUUUGGCAAGAAAAUGUAUUCUUUUAAUUGGAUUAAUGA